rnacentral:rRNA from 1 species
CCUACGGGAGGCAGCAGUGGGGAAUAUUGCACAAUGGGCGCAAGCCUGAUGCAGCGACGCCGCGUGAGGGAUGGAGGCCUUCGGGUUGUAAACCUCUUUUAUCGGGGAGCAAGCGAGAGUGAGUUUACCCGUUGAAUAAGCACCGGCUAACUACGUGCCAGCAGCCGCGGUAAUACGUAGGGUGCAAGCGUUAUCCGGAAUUAUUGGGCGUAAAGGGCUCGUAGGCGGUUCGUCGCGUCCGGUGUGAAAGUCCAUCGCUUAACGGUGGAUCCGCGCCGGGUACGGGCGGGCUUGAGUGCGGUAGGGGAGACUGGAAUUCCCGGUGUAACGGUGGAAUGUGUAGAUAUCGGGAAGAACACCAAUGGCGAAGGCAGGUCUCUGGGCCGUUACUGACGCUGAGGAGCGAAAGCGUGGGGAGCGAACAGGAUUAGAUACCCUGGUAGUCCACGCCGUAAACGGUGGAUGCUGGAUGUGGGGCCCGUUCCACGGGUUCCGUGUCGGAGCUAACGCGUUAAGCAUCCCGCCUGGGGAGUACGGCCGCAAGGCUAAAACUCAAAGGAAUUGACGGGGGCCCGCACAAGCGGCGGAGCAUGCGGAUUAAUUCGAUGCAACGCGAAGAACCUUACCUGGGCUUGACAUGUUCCCGACGAUCCCAGAGAUGGGGUUUCCCUUCGGGGCGGGUUCACAGGUGGUGCAUGGUCGUCGUCAGCUCGUGUCGUGAGAUGUUGGGUUAAGUCCCGCAACGAGCGCAACCCUCGCCCCGUGUUGCCAGCGGAUUAUGCCGGGAACUCACGGGGGACCGCCGGGGUUAACUCGGAGGAAGGUGGGGAUGACGUCAGAUCAUCAUGCCCCUUACGUCCAGGGCUUCACGCAUGCUACAAUGGCCGGUACAACGGGAUGCGACGCGGCGACGCGGAGCGGAUCCCUGAAAACCGGUCUCAGUUCGGAUCGCAGUCUGCAACUCGACUGCGUGAAGGCGGAGUCGCUAGUAAUCGCGAAUCAGCAACGUCGCGGUGAAUGCGUUCCCGGGCCUUGUACACACCGCCCGUCAAGUCAUGAAAGUGGGCAGCACCCGAAGCCGGUGGCCUAACCCCUUGUGGGAUGGAGCCGUCUAAGGUGAGGCUCGUGAUUGGGACUAAGUCGUAACAAGGUAGCCGUACCGGAAGGUGCGGCUG